GACGAACGCUGGCGGCGCGCUUAACACAUGCAAGUCGAACGGAAAGGCCUGCUUUCCCUUGUGGAUUGCGGGUACUCGAGUGGCGAACGGGUGAGUAACACGUGAGUGAUCUGCCCCCAACUUGGGUAUAAGCCUGGGAAACUGGGUCUAAUUCCCGAUAGGACUGCAGGGUGGUGCCUGUGGUGGAAAACGUUUUUCUAGUGGUUGGGGAUGAGCUCGCGGCCUAUCAGCUUGUUGGUGGGGUAAUGGACUACCAAGGCGGGGACGGGUAGCCGGCCUGAGAGGCGGGACGGAAACAGUGGGGAUGGGAUUCGGCCCAGAAGCUUACGGAAGGCAGCAGUGGUGAAUAGCGAACAAUGGGCGGAAGCCUGAGGCAGGGACGACGGGUGGGGGAUGACGGCCUUCGGGUUGUAAACUCCUUUCGACCGAGAGGAAGCCACCUGGUUGGAAGGGUGGUGACGGUAGUGGUAGAAGAAGCACCGGCUAACUACGUG
rnacentral:rRNA from 1 species